AAAUUGAAGAGUUUGAUCAUGGCUCAGAUUGAACGCUGGCGGCAGGCCUAACACAUGCAAGUCGAACGGUAACAGAAAGCAGCUUGCUGCUUUGCUGACGAGUGGCGGACGGGUGAGUAAUGUCUGGGAAACUGCCUGAUGGAGGGGGAUAACUACUGGAAACGGUAGCUAAUACCGCAUAACGUCGCAAGACCAAAGAGGGGGACCUUCGGGCCUCUUGCCAUCGGAUGUGCCCAGAUGGGAUUAGCUAGUAGGUGGGGUAAAGGCUCACCUAGGCGACGAUCCCUAGCUGGUCUGAGAGGAUGACCAGCCACACUGGAACUGAGACACGGUCCAGACUCCUACGGGAGGCAGCAGUGGGGAAUAUUGCACAAUGGGCGCAAGCCUGAUG
rnacentral:rRNA from 1 species